GCGGGACUAGUUUAAUGGUAGAAUAGGAGUUUUCCAAACUCUUGGCGGGGGUUCGAUUCCCCCGUCCCGCA
rnacentral:tRNA from 1 species